UACGUAGGGGGCGAGCGUUGUCCGGAAUUAUUGGGCGUAAAGCGCGCGCAGGCGGACUAGUCAGUCGGGCGUGAAAGCCCCCGGCUCAACCGGGGCGGGUCGCUCGAGACGGCUAGUCUGGAGGGAGUGAGAGGGGGGUGGAAGGCCCGGUGGAGCAGUGAAAUGCGUAGAGACCGGGCGGAACACUCGUGGCGAAGGCGGCCCCCUGGGGCUCACCUGACGCUGAGGCGCGAAGGCCAGGGGAGCGAACGGG
rnacentral:rRNA from 1 species